CUACGGAGGGUGCGAGCGUUAAUCGGAAUUACUGGGCGUAAAGCGCGCGUAGGCGGUUUGGUCAGUCAGAUGUGAAAGCCCUGGGCUCAACCUGGGAACUGCAUUUGAUACUGCCAGGCUAGAGUAUGGUAGAGGGAAGUGGAAUUCCGGGUGUAGCGGUGAAAUGCGUAGAUAUCCGGAGGAACACCAGUGGCGAAGGCGACUUCCUGGACCAAUACUGACGCUGAGGUGCGAAAGCGUGGGUAGCAAACAGGAUUAGAAACCCGAGUAGUCC
rnacentral:rRNA from 1 species